GKCCSCARGYSCAUSCCWUACGGAAGGGUGCAUUUAUUAGAACAAAACCAAGCGACUUCGGUCGUUUUYYKUUGACUCAGAAUAACUAAGCUGAUCGCAUGGUCUUGCACCGGCGAMRUGUCUUUCAAGUAUCUGCCUUAUCAACUUUCGAUGGUAGUGUAUCUGACUACCAUGGUGGUGACGGGUWYCSKAGGAUAAGGGUUUGACUCCGGAGAAGGGGCCUGAGAAAUGGCCACUACGUCUAAGGAUGGCAGCAGGCGCGCAAAUUACCCACUCUCAGAACGAGGAGGUAGUGACGAAAAAUAACGAGACCGUUCUCUACGAGGCCGGUCAUCGGAAUGGGUACAAUCUAAACCMUUUAACGAGUAUCUAUGAGAGGGCAAGUCUGGUGCCAGCAGCCGCGGUAAUUCCAGCUCUCAAAAUGCAUAGAAUUAUUGCUGCGGUUAAAAAGCUCGUAGUUGGAUCUGUGCUGAGGACCUGGUCCACCUUCGGGUGCGUACUAGGMUCCACGGCUUUUCUGCCGGUUUUCCCGUCAUGGCUUUCAUCGGCUGUGGCGGGUGGCUGGUGAUUUUACUUUGAACAAAUCAGAGUGCUUCAAACAGGCGUUUAGCUUGAAUGUUUUUGCAUGGAAUAAUAGAAGAGGAUUUCGGUUCUAUUUWAUUGGUUUUAUAGACUGAAAUAAUGGUUAACAGAGACCAACGGGGGCAUUCGUACUGUUGCGKGRRARKGKGAAA
rnacentral:rRNA from 1 species